AUUGUUGAACAAAUUUGUGCAGCAACGCGGGUAGAACUUCAACCAUCUUAAUGAUGAGAGCUAAUAAAUUAAUAAUAAUAAAACUAUCUGCGAUCACUGCGAAUUUCAUGACGAUAGAUGGCAACGCAUAAUUUAUGACAUAUCAUUAAUUAAUUUUCGAAACCGAUGUCUACCUUAUGGGAGUGGGAGAAGGCCAAUCAAAUAAAUGGUCAAUAGAUUUCAUAUAGCCUUAAGGGCUAAUGAUCUUCGUAUUGCCGGACCACAGCGGAAAGAUUAAUUCAACAUUUUAAAUUGUUAAAGCCAAUGAAAAUGUAAAAGAAUAGUCACAACAAGAACAAACAACAUACACGUACACGCAUAACACUAAUAUUUUACAGAUUGCCAACCCUGCACCAUAGGAUACGGGUAUUCUUACUUCCUGAUUCCGUUGGCAACACUCGAAUGGGUCCAAAAUCUAAGAUAUCUCCUAUUUAUACUUAUCUCUCGAUAAGAGUUCUUGAGUAGCCUCAAUAGGCAAUUCACAACCAACAAUUAAUAAAAUAGAUUUCUUAUUUUUACCAUCUA